rnacentral:lncRNA from 1 species
AAACUGUCGCUCAACCUUUCCUUGUAAAAUACAGGUAUAAGGAUAUGAUGAGAGAAUGGCCCCCACUAAACCGAGUAGCUUAGGAUGGGUCACUUCGAGAGAAUGUUGAUCGACUUUUUGAGAUGCUGGAGAGACUCAUCUCUGCUCAGUAGGCCCGGGAGGAAAGGAGGGAGCUACUUGACCUUUUUCGGUUUUCAUAGUUUGAGCCAUCCUUAUAGCAGAAAGAUUUGGAGCCACCCUGGUACAACCCUGCUCCUUCACUAUAUCAUCCAGCACCGCCACAGUAUAAUCUGGUGCCCCCACCAUACAACCAGGUGCUGUCACAAGACCACUCGGCACCUCCCCAACACAAUCUAAUCCUUCUUCCGCGGGAUCUGGUUCCACCCAUGAUGAACCCAA